GUAGAAGACGAGAUCGAUAGACUCGGGAUGUACGCACCAAGGCAACGAGGUGUUGAGUCCGCGAGCACUAAUCGGCCAAGCC
rnacentral:rRNA from 1 species